UCGUGUCGUGAGAUGUUGGGUUAAGUCCCGCAACGAGCGCAACCCCUAUCCUUUGUUGCCAGCACGCAAUGGUGGGAACUCAAAGGAGACUGCGCGGACAACGCGGAGGAAGGCGGGGAUGACGUCAAGUCAUCAUGCCCCUUAUGUCCUGGGCUACACACGUACUACAAUGGGAUGGACAGAGAGCAGCGAAGCCGCGAGGCCAAGCCGAACCCCAUAAACCAUCUCCCAGUUCGGAUUGCAGGCUGAACCCGCCUGCA
rnacentral:rRNA from 1 species